UUUCCUUGCAGGUCGAUGUAGCUUGUACACCGGUAGAGAAAGUUUGAUAUCCCAGCCACUUGCACUUAUCGGAAAAAACAGAAACCCUCUCGUCCUUGCUAUGAGUAAAAAAGUGUUGUCCAUGGUCGAGGCUGGGCUACCGGACUUUUGGUACUAUGAAGGCAUCGCUAACUCUACUUCCUGCUAUCAGCUCCCUACUAAAGUUACUAUAACAUCAUCGUUUUCUCUACAGAGCUCCAUGGCGAUGUUCAUGGUCCUCAUAGGUGGGCUGAUUCUUGCCUUCGUUACCUUCUGCGUGGAGAUGGUUGUGACUGAAUUUCCU